UUUGAUUUACUAUGACAUAAUUUGUUGCGAUAAUACUUAGAAAACAUAAAAAUUAAAAAUAACUAUGCAAGUUUUCAUCAAAAGUUAAAAAAAUAAUGCCAAUAAAAAUUUCAAGUUUUUUAGGAAAGCUUUCACAAGUUUAAGCUUUUGAAAGUGAAAUCUCAAAACUAUUUACCAGCUUGAAAUAGUAUUACAGAUAAGACAAGGUUUUUGAAAGCUUUCACUAACAGUGUGAAAGAUAUGCCUAUAAAUAUUUUAAUUUUAUGUAUGAAAGCUUUUGCCUUGCUUCAAAAAGCUUUCGAAAUUUUUGGCUUUCAUCAAAAAUGUGCGUUUAAACACAAAACGCUUUUCAAAGCUUACGCCCACACAAUGAAAAACAUGUCUUUAAAAUAUUUUAAAAUGACAAAUAAGUAUGUGGGAAAGCUCUUAAAGUUUUUGGCUUUCACCAAAAUAUGUACUUAAACUUAAUGUCCUUCAUAUUCUUGAGAACAUAGAAAACUAUUUUCGAGAAAGUUUUAAAGUUUUUACGAAUGCUUUAAAAAGCCGUGGCUUUCACCAAACGCAAAGCCGUUAAUAUUUAUUUUUAUUUUUAUUAAAGCUUAAACAAGCUUUAGCUUACACCAAAUACUUGAAAAUUAUGUAGAGCUUUUGAUUUGUAGGAAAGCUUUCACUAGCAAAAAUCUAAUAAAAGAAAACGCUUUAUGAAAGCUUAAACAAGCUUUAGCUUAUACCAAAUACUUGAAAAUUAUGCAGAGCUUUGAGAAUUGUAGGAAAGCUUUCACUAGCAAAAAUCUAAUAAAAAGAAAACGCUAAAGUUUGCGCU